rnacentral:rRNA from 1 species
AGUGAACGCUGGCGGCAGGCCUAACACAUGCAAGUCGAGCGGCAGCGCGGGGGCAACCCUGGCGGCGAGCGGCGGACGGGUGAGGAAUGCAUCGGAAUCUACCUCGUUGUGGGGGAUAACCUCGGGAAACCGGGACUAAUACCGCAUACGACCUACGGGUGAAAGUGGGGGACCUUCGGGCCUCACGCGAUGAGAUGAGCCGAUGCCGGAUUAGCUAGUUGGCGGGGUAAAGGCCCACCAAGGCGACGAUCCGUAGCUGGUCUGAGAGGAUGAUCAGCCACACUGGAACUGAGACACGGUCCAGACUCCUACGGGAGGCAGCAGUGGGGAAUAUUGGACAAUGGGCGCAAGCCUGAUCCAGCCAUGCCGCGUGCGUGAAGAAGGCCUCGGUUGUAAG